rnacentral:rRNA from 1 species
CGCGCAGGCGGCCUGACAAGUCAGGUGUGAAAGCCCACGGCUUAACCGUGGACGUGCACUUGAAACUGUCAGGCUUGAGUAUCAGAGGGGAAAGUGGAAUUCCUGGUGUAGAGGUGAAAUUCGUAGAUAUCAGGAGGAAUACCGGUGGCGAAGGCGACUUUCUGGCUGAAUACUGACGCUGAGGCGCGAAAGCGUGGGGAGCAAACA